GACAGAGGUUGCAAACGUUGUUCGGAAUCACUGGGCAUAAAGCGCACGUAGGCGGCUGACUAAGUCAGAUGUGAAAUCCCUCGGCUUAACCGGGGAACUGCGUCUGAUACUGGUCGGCUUGAGAACGGUAGGGGUGAGCGGAACUCCAGGUGGAGCGGUGAAAUGCGUAGAUAUCUGGAGGAACACCGGUGGCGAAAGCGGCUCACUGGACCGUCACUGACGCUGAGGUGCGAAAGCUAGGGUAGCAAACGGG
rnacentral:rRNA from 1 species